rnacentral:SRP_RNA from 1 species
CCCGGGGACUUUAGGGGUAACACGCCUUGAACCAGGUCAGGAUCGGAAGGUAGCAGCCUUAAGAGAUACGAUUACGUUCUAGACCCUCUCCGGGAUU